rnacentral:rRNA from 1 species
CCUACGGGCGGCAGCAGUGGGGAAUAUUGCACAAUGGGGGGAACCCUGAUGCAGCGACGCCGCGUGAGUGAAGAAGUAUCUCGGUACGUAAAGCUCUAUCAGCAGGGAAGAAAAUGACGGUACCUGACUAAGAAGCCCCGGCUAACUACGUGCCAGCAGCGGAGGUAAUACGUAGGGGGCAAGCGUUAUCCGGAUUUACUGGGUGUAAAGGGAGAGUAGACGGCACUGCAAGUCCGGAGUGAAAGCCCAAGGCUUAACCAUGGGACUGCUAUUGAAACUGUGGAGCUUGAGUGCGGGAGGGGCAGGCGGAAUUCCUGGUGUAGCGGUGAAAUGCGUAGAUAUUAGGAGGAACACCGGCGGCGAAGGCGGCCUGCUGGACCGUAACUGACGUUGAGGCUCGAAAGCGUGGGGAGCAAACAGGAUUAGAUACCCCAGUAGUC